AUUCUCAAGAAGUUGAAGUUUAAAUUGAAGUAGAUUUUCGAUGAAUUAGAGUUCAGAUAAAAAUUAUUUUUAUACAGCUGUGAUUUAUUAUUAUUAUUAUUAUUAUUUAUUUGGUAGAGAGUGAGUGUCAUAAAAAUUAAAGAUUUCUUGCUUUUAUUUUGAAAAUUUUGAAUUUCAAUCGAAUAUGAAGAGAUGAGGAGCUAGCCAAUGAAAAUAAGCAAUUUCAGUUGAAUACCACUUUACUCUUUUUUUUACUUUUGGUUAAACAAACGUACCAUAUGGUAUACGCAGCAGUUGUGUGUCCGUAUCUAAUACAUAUUUACAACAACAAAAUGUUUUCACACAAUACAAAAGUUGAUCGAUCGAUCGCAAAUUGGUAGAGCUUCAAUUUUUGGUUGGUCGGAUUAAUGCAUCAUUUCCAUAGCGGUUUGGACGAUUAGAAAUAGGAAAUCGAAAUAAGAUAAUCUAUCUGUUGCACACAAAAAAAAUCACCAAUAAACAAAGAAAAUAGUACUAAUAAGAGAUCUUUGAAUGUCAUUAGAACCAUCCACUACCAUUUAUUAGGGAACGUAUGCAAUAUUAUUGUAAAUACGUAUAGUUAAAAAUAUAGCAAUUAUAAUUAUAUGUAUCUUAUUUAAUUGGAUGUAAUAGAAAGUGUUGUGAUAAUAAUUAAUUUGUGUGGUUGUAUACGGAUAAAAUGUGCAUUUUUUAAACUUUAUCUUUUUAUAUAAAUGUGGUAAUGAGAUUACCUUCAAUACAAAAAGAAAAUUAUUUUUCAUUUUAAAAAGUAAUUAGAAAGAUAAUCUUAUUUUUAUUUAAAAAUAUUCUCUUUAAUUACUGUAGUGCAGUUGAACUUCCUCUUCCAGUUCCAACUACAGCAAUUGAAUAUAAAUAGAUUCUAUCAAACAUCAUAUUUGAAUCCGUAUGCAAUCAACUUAGUUGAGAA
rnacentral:lncRNA from 1 species